AAACGACUCUCGGCAACGGAUAUCUCGGCUCUCGCAUCGAUGAAGAACGUAGCGAAAUGCGAUACUUGGUGUGAAUUGCAGAAUCCCGUGAACCAUCGAGUCUUUGAACGCAAGUUGCGCCCGAAGCCUUCGGGCCGAGGGCACGCCUGCCUGGGCGUCACGCAU
rnacentral:rRNA from 1 species